rnacentral:rRNA from 1 species
AGCGAACGCUGGCGGCAGGCCUAACACAUGCAAGUCGAACGAACUCUUCGGAGUUAGUGGCGGACGGGUGAGUAACACGUGGGAACGUGCCUUUUGGUUCGGAAUAACUCAGGGAACCUUGUGCUAAUACCGAAUGUGCCCUUCGGGGGAAAGAUUUAUCGCCAUUAGAGCGGCCCGCGUCUGAUUAGCUAGUUGGUGAGGUAACGGCUCACCAAGGCGACGAUCGGUAGCUGGUCUGAGAGGAUGACCAGCCACACUGGGACUGAGACACGGCCCAGACUCCUACGGGAGGCAGCAGUGGGGAAUCUUGCGCAAUGGGCGAAAGCCUGACGCAGCCAUGCCGCGUGAAUGAUGAAGGUCUUAGGAUUGUAAAAUUCUUUCACCGGGGACGAUAAUGACGGUACCCGGAGAAGAAGCCCCGGCUAACUUCGUG